CAUAAUCUCUACGGAGAAAAGCAGGGGAUCGCAAGACCUUGCGCUCUUGGAGCGGCCGAUGUCUGAUUAGCUAGUUGGUGAGGUAAAGGCUUACCAAGGCNNCGAUCAGUAGCUGGUCUGAGAGGACGACCAGCCACACUGGGACUGAGACACGGCCCAGACUCCUACGGGAGGCAGCAGUGGGGAAUUUUGGACAAUGGGGGAAACCCUGAUCCAGCCAUGCCGCGUGAGUGAAGAAGGCCUUCGGGUUGUAAAGCUCUUUCAGCCGGAACGAAACGGUCACGGUUAAUAACUGUGAUCACUGACGGUACCGGAAGAAGAAG
rnacentral:rRNA from 1 species